CUUUUGCAGAAUAAAGACAACAUACCAGGCUACACAUAGCAAGCUUUAAACAUCAAAAACUCUUAACAGGAUGGGAUCUACAGCCUCUGACAUUCGUUGUCAGAACACAAAAAUGAAAAUUUCCAGAUUUUAAAGAUCUUCAAAUCCGAGCUUCUGAAUGUUAUGGAAUCAACAUCAAGCAACCCAGAUCAUCCUUAGACACUAUAAUCAACAUGUUUUAACAUUUAAACAUAACAUCUAACACCAAAAAGUUUAAGAAAAAUCAAGCUAGGGUUUAUACCUUUUUAAGCUUUGAUUCUGAUUUUUGGCUACUGAUUUGUUAUUGGUGUGAAUGGGGCUUGUUUAUAGACUGAUAUAAUGAG
rnacentral:lncRNA from 1 species